ensembl:lncRNA novel transcript
CAAAGUGCUGGGAUUCCAGGCGUGAGCCACCGCGCCGGGACCCAAGGCCCUUAAGUUUUAAGGCCUCAUUCUUCAGUCAGGUUUUCCCUGUUCCCGCGUGUUCGGCCAAUUUUUUGUUGUUGUUGUUUUGUUUUUGUUUUUGUUUUUGAGUCAAUUUUCCAGACAUCUUUAAUUAGCAAUAUGUUUAAGUAGUUACAAGCCUUUCCUUCUUUUCUUGUGACAGUUUGGGUUGAAUUUCUAUCGUUUGCAGCCUGUCACUGUAAGGCACAAACAUGAUCACGCAAGAUGCGAUAGUAGAUUUAAGCCAGUUGUUUUUAAGUUUGUGUUUAAGGAGAAACUAACAAUGAAAACGGCCUCGUUGACGGAGGAAAAGUUGGAAUGCAGCCUCUGGUGCUGUUUGAGCGAUCCCUCUCCCCGGGGCCUGGCCGCGCGCUGCUGUGUUCUGGAAGGGCUCAUUGUACAGUCAAGGCGGCAGGGCCUUCUUCUGUCACCCAUGCUGGAGUGCAGUAGCAUGAUCACAGCUCACGGUAGCCUCCACCUUCUGGGCUCAAUCCUCCUACCUCAGCCUUCCAAGUAGCUGGGACUACAGUCUUGAGGAUCCAUUUUCUGAGACGGUGAUGGGAAAGAUGUUGGUUGUCAAGUGGAAUCUCAGCAGUCAUUUUCAGACAAAGUUAGAGAAAACAAGUAUGGAAGAUGCCUGAUUCUCAAAGAGUCAUCCAGUCUUGGGAUUACCGCCUACGUCCAUGGAAGUGAAAGUCCUCUUUUUCUUUGUACCACUUACUGAGGUCGGCAUCAUCCUCCCCGGCAGGCAGGUGAAGAGAGGCUCCGUGGCUUGUCCUGGCCCAGCCCUUCCGUGACAGUGCCUUUGGCCUCAUGGACUGAGGUUUCAGGAAGUUUGCGACAGUGUCUGCGGGUCUGGACACUCAUGUGACAUGUGGAGGACGUCCUGCAACAUGCUGUGGAAACACCCUCAUUUGUCUCCAGCGCUGGGGAUUGCCCAGGGAAGAGCCGCCUGUUGUCCAUUCCCCAGGCCUUGUAAUACUUUCUCUAACUGUGCUUGGGGGUCCUGGAAUUUGUGUGAGAAAAUCCAUGGGUCCACAUCUGGGCUGUCCGGGUAGAGGGGCCAUCCGUACCCCUCCCUCACUGUGAUGGGUGGCACUGCAUCCUCUGAGGACUCGUAUGUUGAAGCCCCGUCCCCUGUACCGCAGAACUGGUCCCAUUUAGGUUGUUGCAGAUGUAACGAGUUAAGACGAGGCCAUACUGGAGUAGGGUGGGUCCCUAAUGCGGUGCAACUGGUGUCCUUAUAAAAAGGGGAAAUUCGGACCCAGAGACAGGCUCGCACGUAGGGAGAACACCAAGUGAAGAUGAGGGCAGGGAUGGGGCGAGACCUACAGGCCAAGGAACACAGAAGAUUGUGACAACCACCAGAAGUUAGACAAGAGGCCUGGAGCAGUCCCCAGUCAGGGCCCCCAGGAGGAACCAACCCUGCCUCACCUUGAUCUCAGACUUCUCGACUCCAGAGCUGUGACAAGAUAAAUGUCUGCUGUUGAAGCCGCA